rnacentral:rRNA from 1 species
UACGGGGGGGGGCGAGCGUUGUUCGGAAUCAUUGGGCGUAAAGGGUGCGUAGGUGGUGCUGUAAGUCUGACGUGAAAUCUCUGGGCUUAACCCAGAAUCCGCGCCAGGAACUGCAGUGCUAGAGUGUGGGAGAGGAGAGUGGAAUUCCCGGUGUAGCGGUGAAAUGCGUAGAUAUCGGGAGGAAUCACCCGUGGCGAAGGCGGCUCUCUGGACCACAACUGACACUGAGGCACGAAAGCCGGGGGAGCAAACAGG